rnacentral:rRNA from 1 species
GAUGAAUGCUGGCGGCGUGCCUAACACAUGCAAGUCGAGCGGCAGCGAGUUUUACACUGAAUUCUGGAAGCUUCUGAGUAGUACAGAAGAUUUAUUCAAGAGUUUUGUGUAAAAUGUCGGCGAGCGGCGGACGGCUGAGUAACGCGUAGGAAUUUGCCCCAAAGUGAGGAAUAACUGCCCGAAAGGGUAGCUAAUGCCGCAUAUGGUCUUCGGAUUAAAGCCUUCGGGCGCUUUGGGAGAAGCCUGCGUUGGAUUAGGUAGUUGGUAGGGUAAUGGCCUACCAAGCCGACGAUCCAUAGCUGGUCUGAGAGGAUGAUCAGCCAGACUGGAACUGAGACACGGUCCAGACUCCUACGGGAGGCAGCAGUGAGGAAUCUUCCACAAUGGGCGAAAGCCUGAUGGAGCAACGCCGCGUGAAGGAUGAAGGCCUUCGAGUUGUAAACUUCUUUUAUGAGUGAAGAAUAUGACGGUAACUCAUGAAUAAGCACCGGCUAACUACGUG